rnacentral:rRNA from 1 species
UACGUAGGGGGCAAGCGUUGUCCGGAAUCAUUGGGCGUAAAGCGCGUGUAGGCGGUUCGGUAAGUCUGCUGUGAAAGUCCAGGGCUCAACCCUGGGAUGCCGGUGGAUACUGUCGGACUAGAGUACGGAAGAGGCGAGUGGAAUUCCCGGUGUAGCGGUGAAAUGCGUAGAUAUCAGGAGGAACACCUGUGGCGAAAGCGGCGCACUGGACCACAACUGACGCUGAGGCGCGAAAGCUAGGGGAGCAAACAGG